GACAGAGGUGCCGAGCGUUAGGCGGAAUCACUGGGCUUAAAGCGUGUGUAGGCGGGUGCCUAAGUACCUUGUGAAAUCCCACGGCUUAACCGUGGAACUGCUUGGUAUACUGGGUGUCUUGAGCCAACUAGAGGCAGUCGGAACAAACGGUGGAGCGGUGAAAUGCGUAGAUAUCGUUUGGAACGCCAAUGGUGAAAACAGACUGCUGGGGUUGUGCUGACGCUGAGACACGAAAGCCAGGGGAGCGAACGGG
rnacentral:rRNA from 1 species